GUCCACAUCACCGAAGACGCUCUAAGGUGGGAACAUCAGGACCACAGGUGCUGGCUGCUCCAGGAACUAUUGCCUCAUAGGAAGCAUUAUCCUUUGCUCAUGAAUCAGGAUAACCAGGAUUUUAGUAAGGGCCCAGAUAGGAAAGUUCUAGGAGGUGUAGGGCAGGAGCAGCUGGGACCACCAUCAUCCACAGCACGAAUGUCCUCCCUGAUGAUGAGGAAGGGGUUUUAUAAAGGGUUUAUCCAGAGGUGAUUCACACACCGCAGGAUUCACCUGUUUAAGCAUAGAAAUCAACGACUUUAGUAUAUUCACAGAGUUUCAGAGCCAAACCACAAUCAAUUUUACAACAUUUUUGUUACCCUAAAAAGAACCUCAAAUGUUUUAGCCUUUCUGUGUCAAUUUCCCCAUCCCCUUUCAGCCCUAGGCAGCCACCAACGUGCUUUCUCCACGGAUGUCCAUCUUCCGCGCAUUGCAUCAAUGGGGUCUCGCUAUGUUGCCCGGGCUGGUCUCAAACACCUGCACUCCUGCUAUAUCCUCCAGCCUCAGCCUCCCAAUGUGCUGGGAUUACAGACGUGAGCCACCACUCUCAGCCCAAUGUAUAAUUCUCAGUAUGAUGAAAGAUGAUGGAAUCUUGGCCAAGGUGGCAGAGCUGGGUUUAAGGCCAUGGGAAUAUUACAGCUGA
rnacentral:lncRNA from 13 species